rnacentral:rRNA from 1 species
UGAAAGCUGGUACCUCCGGUAUCCGCGUUGUAACCUCGAGACACGUUUUCCGUGCGGCGCUAUGGACAAGUUCCUUGGAACAGGACAUCGUAGAGGGUGAAAAUCCCGUACUUGCCAUGGAUGUACCGUGCUUUGCGAUACUUGCUCUAAAAGUCAAGUUGUUGGGGAUUGCAGCUCAAAAGGGGGGGUAGACUCCAUCUAAAGCUAAAUAUCGGGGAAAGACCGAUAGCGAACAAGUACCGGGAGGGAAAAAUGAAAAGCACUUUGGAAAAAAAGUUAAAAGUACGUGAAAUUGUCGAAAGGGAACCGCUUGAAGUCAACCAUGCCGCUCAGGACUCAGCCUGGCUUUUGCUUGGUGUAUUUCCUGGGUAGCAAGUCAGCAUUGGUUUGGAUCGUCGGAGAAGCAUAGUCGGAAUGUGGCGCCCUCGGGCGGGUUAUAGCCUUCUAUUGGAUACGACGAUCUAGACCAAGGAACGCAGCGCGCCUUAUGGCGGGUCUUCGGACACCUUCGCGCUUACGA